rnacentral:miRNA from 1 species
UGGUACCAGAGCCAGGGUU